rnacentral:misc_RNA from 1 species
CUGGUUUGCCGCAGAUGCAGAUACUAUCUCUUUGAAAUACUGGGAUCAGGAAGUUUUGCUCCCAGGAGGUCAUGGUCUUAUGGUACGGGGUUAUCGACCUGUUAUAAAUACCCUUGCAAAAGGUCUUGACAUUCGUCUUGGUCACCGAGUGACAAAAAUAUUCCGUGGUAAGAAGGGAGUAGAAGUUACUGUUGGCAAUGGUAAAACAUUCGUAGCAGAUGCUGCUGUGAUUUGUGUUCCUCUAGGUGUUCUGAAAUCCAACUCGAUUAAGUUUGAGCCGAGACUUCCCGAAUGGAAGGAACAAACAAUAGCAGAUAUUGCAGUUGGAACGGAG